CGAUAUUAUUAUAAUGUUUGUUGUUUCGUUUGACCGCACUGCGUCCACCGUUUUGUUGAAUAAAAACUAAUAAUAAUACGCUUUUAACCGUUUGUACGAAAAUUAUAAUGUGUUAAAUGUAUAAAAACUAUAGGAAAAAAAUAAAAAUAAAACAAAAGCCAAAAAAAAAAAAAAAAACAACUUAACAUUAAGACUUACCUACCUGUUUGUUUAUUUUAUUAUUAUGAUUUUUUUUUUUUUUUGCGAAUGAAAUUUAGACUAAACGUUUUUUUGCUCAAUGUGUGAAGCCAAACGGAUUGGUUUAUUAUUAUUAUUAUUAUUAUUAUUAUUAUUAUUAUUAUUAUUAUUAUCAUUAUUAUAUUAAUUAUUAUUAUUAUCAUUAUUAUUAUUAUUAUUAUUUUUAUUACUUUUUAAUAUUAUUGUGACUCGGGUUCACGACAGAAAAAAAAGGAAAAAAACCAAAAUAAAUAAACUGUAAUAUUACACACACACGAGUAGGUAGGUAAAAGAUAAAAUAAAAUUAACAAAAAAAAAAAAAAAAAACGACGUAACUUUACGGGCCUUGACAUUAUUCCUAUAGUUACCGCUCACUAGGUGACCCAGAUGGAAUUCAGACGAUUAAAAAACACACUGUAUAGAUUAUUGUCAUUAUAUUAUAUACCUAUAUAUAUAAAAAAAAAAUGUGUAUAUAAAAUAUUUUUGUUAAAACAUUUAUAUAUAUUUAAGAAAAAAAAAAAAAAAAAUUAUACCUAUUAACCGUGGUUUUUAA